CCGACUUUAGCUCAGAUGGUAGAGCAUCAGACUGUAACAUGGCAGAAAUCUGUGGGUCCUCGGUUCGAUUCCGAGAAGUCGGA